rnacentral:rRNA from 1 species
GCACAAGCGGUGGAUGAUGUGGUUUAAUUCGAUGCAACGCGAAAACCUUACCCACCUUUGACAUGGCAGGAAUCCUGAAGAGAUUUGGGAGUGCUCGAAAGAGAACCUGCACACAGGUGCUGCAUGGCUGUCGUCAGCUCGUGUCGUGAGAUGUUGGGUUAAGUCCCGCAACGAGCGCAACCCUUGCCAUUAGUUGCUACGAAAGGGCACUCUAAUGGGACUGCCGGUGACAAACCGGAGGAAGGUGGGGAUGACGUCAAGUCCUCAUGGCCCUUAUAGGUGGGGCUACACACGUCAUACAAUGGCCGGUACAGAGGGUAGCCAACCCGCGAGGGGGAGCUAAUCCCACAAAGCCAGUCGUAGUCCGGAUCGUAGUCUGCAACUCGACUACGUGAAGUCGGAAUCGCUAGUAAUCGUGGAUCAGAAUGUCACGGUGAAUACGUUCCCGGGUCUU